UACGUAGGCAGCAAGCGUUGUUCGGAAUUACUGGGCGUAAAGAGUGUGUAGGCGGUUUUCUAAGUUCGGUGUGAAAUCUCCCGGCUCAACUGGGAGGGUGCGCCGAAUACUGAAUGACUAGAGUGCGGGAGAGGAAAGUGGAAUUCCUGGUGUAGCGGUGAAAUGCGUAGAUAUCAGGAGGAACACCGGUGGUGUAGACGGCUUUCUGGACCGUAACUGACGCUGAGACACGAAAGCGUGGGUAGCAAACAGG
rnacentral:rRNA from 1 species